AUUUUGUUUAAAGGAUUUUUUUAAUUUGUGUUUUUUAUUUUAUUAUAAAUACAUAUAUUUCUGUUAACAGUUGGACUGAUUUGAUAGCGGGUUGUCAGUAGCGGUGAGAUAAUAGUCAUAAAUAAAACCUAGGUUGAUAUUGACAUUUCUGGAGCUUUUCAUUUGUUUCAUCUUUAUUUUAUUUUGUGAGUGCGUAGUAUGAGAGAUUGGCCAUGUUAGAGAGAGAGGGAGAAUUAGUCGUAUUUUCUUUUGACUGCAUAUGUAACUUAUGAAGUGUUUCAUUGAUGUAAUAUUUACUAUUUUUAAG
rnacentral:lncRNA from 1 species